AGCUCCAAUAGCGUAUAUUAAAGUUGUUGCAGUUAAAAAGCUCGUAGUUGGACUUCUGAUGCGAAAGAUCGGUCCACCGCAAGGUGAGCACUGAUUCUUCGCGUCUUCCUCUCGUAGUCGUUUGGCGCACUUAGUUGGGUGCCAGAUGAAUAUGGGACCUUUACUUUGAAAAAAUUAGAGUGUUCAAAGCAGGCAAUCGCUUGAAUACAUUAGCAUGGAAUAAUAGAAUAGGACUUUGGUUCUAUUUUGUUGGUUUCUAGGACCGAGGUAAUGAUUAAUAGGGACAGUUGGGGGCAUUAGUAUUUAAUUGUCAGAGGUGAAAUUCUUGGAUUUAUGAAAGACUAACUACUGCGAAAGCAUUUGCCAAGGAUGUUUUCA
rnacentral:rRNA from 1 species